UGUACAGAAGUCAGGGAAUGCUCCACUCUGUAACUAACAGCCUCUUUAUUUCAGACAGUUAGUCAACUAUGUCAUCAUUAUUGUGGAAAAACACCUGGGUGCCCUUUCACGGAAGACUCUUAGCGCUGCAACGUCGUAAACCACGUCAUAAAGCAGCUCUUGAAUUUUUGUACUUUUCCACAAAGACCUCCAUAAGAACUUUAAGCAGCAUCGUUAACAACCUCUUAGCAUGUACGCUAGGUAACGGCACUUGUAACUAGCUUACGAUUUGUAAGUCAGUGUCUUAUACUGGGAUGUCCUACAGUAGGUAGUAGCGGCUCGGACAUUGUAGUGCUAAAAGGAUGUUUGUGAAACGGCACCCUGCUGUUCAGACAGAGAGAACUUUACUACUGGUUAGAAAGCAAGCACUGGUCAACUAGAUUUGGAAAUAUGGCUUUUUUUGUGCUUUUUUGCCAUCAGGUAUAAUUUUGUGUAUUAUUGAGAAGUAUGAAUAUAGUUGUUAAGAAGGCAACGUUUUCUUUUCACAUUAUAAGUUUUUGUUUUUUCGUAUUUUAGGGCGGUAUUGUUGUUUGUCAUAUAUCUUUAUAAAAUGUAAGACAAAUUUAAAUUUCCUAAACUUCAUUUCUUCCAAAUAGCUGUUUAAUAUUUACCCUUGUAAUAGCAAGUCUGGCUUCCUGCUGUGUAGAGAAGCCCUUUAGGUGUAUGAAAAUAUAUACUUUAUUUUACCCAGGUCUGAAUUAAUUUAAAACAUUUUAUGUGUUGAUGAAAGUUGAGAAUGAACUUGGAUCAGAAUAGGAUGUUUUUGUCUCAAACAAUGUUAGGGUUUUUCCACAAUAAUGCGUAGAUUAUUUUUAUUUUGUUUAUUAAACAAAGUCAGACAAUUUUUAGAUAUUAUUUGCAGCAUGGAGUGAACUAGGUACUAGAUGAUACGACCCUGCAGAUACAUUAAUCCUUGCAUACACCUACAACCAUGGAUGAUUAGUGUCCUCAACACUGCCUGUAGUCAUUCACAGUUGGGACGGUGGGUAGUGUGUCGCCUCAUCUCACCACAGUGGUUCAAAUCCUUGCAUACACCUACAACCAUGGAUGCUUAGUGUCCUCAACACUGCCUGUAGUCAUUCACAGUUGGGAUAGUGGGUAGUGUGUCGCCUCAUCUCACCACGGUGGUUUGAAUCCUUGCAUACACCUACAACCAUGGAUGCUUAGUGUCCUCAACACUGCCUGUAGUCAUUCACAGUUGGGACAGUGGGUAGUGUGUCGCCUCAUCUCACCACGGUGGUUCGAAUCCUUGCAUACACCUACAACCAUGGAUGCUUAGUGUCCUCAACACUGCCUGUAGUCAUUCACAGUUGGGACAGUAGGUAGUGUGUCGCCUCAUCUCACCACAGUGGUUCAAAUCCUAUCAUGAGACACUUGGGUCUAGUAAUACUGAUGUCUCUGGUGUCUCGUGGAGCCCAUGGUUAAAGCGUUCACUCAUAACGCCAAACACAUGGGUUUUCCCACAUGAGUUUGAAGCCCUUUUUAGGUGUCCCCGCUGUGAUUUAUUGCUGGAAUAUUGGUAAACUUGGCGUAAAACGUAACUCUCUCAUUCAUUACUGAAUGAAGUUUCUGGAUUGAAGUUUAAAUGCCUAGUAUUCUAGUAACCGACUGAAAUGAGUAUCGGUUGGUCAAAAUGUCUGAUUUGGUUUCCGAGCAUUGUACAGAUUCAGUUAUUUACACAUACUGUAAUACUACUUUUUAUGACUUAAUAUUGUUUUCUGACAUAGCAGUAACGCGUCACAGCUGGUAGUAGGCAGGUGUCAAACAGGUAGUAGGCAGGUGUCAAACAGGUAGUAGGCAGGUGUCAAAAAGGUAGUUGGCAGAUGACAGGAAGUAGGCAGGUAUCACACAGGUAGUAGGCAGAUGACACAAGAAAUAGGCAGUUGUCACACAGGCAGUAGGCAGGUGUCACACAGGUAGUAGGCAGGUGUCACACAGGUAGUAGGCAGGUGUCACACAGGUAGUAGGCAGAUGACAAGAAGUAGGCAGUGUCACACAGGCAGUAGGCAGGUGUCACACAGGUAGUAGGCAGGUGUCACACAGGUAGUAGGCAGGUGUCACACAGGUAGUAGGCAGAUGUCACACAGGUAGUAGGCAGGUGUCACACAGGUAGUAGGCAGAUGACACAAGAAGUAGGCAGUGUCACACAGGCAGUAGGCAGGUGUCACACAGGUAGUAGGCAGGUGUCACACAUAGGCAGCUGUCACACAGGUAGUCAGCAGGUGUCACACAUAGUAGGCAGCUGACACACAGGUAGUAGGCAGGUGUCACAGGUAGUCGGAAGGUGACAUGCAUGACCAGCGUUUAACCCCACUCUGUAUAGACAACAUUCUCCCCUCCAUAGCAGGAACAUUCUGCUGGAACUUAGAACUUAUCCCCUGCUAAUCCUGUCAGGAAUUCCCUGAGAUCAAGUCCCCCUCCUAGACUCUCCCCCUGCAUGGAGUGUUGCUACUGGCAUGGUCCACCAGAUGUUUUACUUUCUUAUCCGAUUAAUGUCUCUCCACCUUGAGUUGAUUCUGUUGGUUUAGUAACGUGUGUCACAUGUAACUUCUUCAGUAAAAUAUGUGUGGUGAAAUCACUUGUAAUGACUAGAACUUGUCCUAUAUUUAAUUACCAGUUUUGAUUAACGAUAACAUAUAUUGACACUUUCAUGACUUUCAUUACUCCAGUUUAACUUAACAGUUGUUCUUCACAACCCUCGAUAUCACCCAAUUUUAAAGUUUAAGUUGAAUGAAUUAACAGUCAGUAAUGAUAUUUAUGUGAUGAGUAAGUCUCUGUUACUCAAACCCGGAUUUGUGCAGGAAUUUGACAAGUUUAUGAAAUUAAUAUUGGAAGUUGAAUGCCAUUCAAACUUGAAUCCUGAAAUUAGAAAUAUAGUUUUUAAAGUUGAUAUAGAUCUCACAUUUCAACCAGUUGGUUUAUGCGCGAUUAGAUACAAUAGUGCUGUUAUCCCCAUGUUGUUGUAGUGUUGUUUCAGUGUUGUUCAACUGUUG